rnacentral:piRNA from 1 species
UCUAAAGGAUGCUUGGGGUCUUGUAGA